rnacentral:rRNA from 1 species
AGAGUUUGAUCAUGGCUCAGGAUGAACGCUGGCGGCGUGCCUAACACAUGCAAGUCGAGCGAUCUUCUUCGGAAGAGAGCGGCGGACGGGUGAGUAACGCGUGGGUAACCUGCCCUGUACACACGGAUAACAUACCGAAAGGUAUGCUAAUACGGGAUAAUAUGAGAGAGUCGCAUGGCUUUCUUAUCAAAGCUCUGGCG